rnacentral:lncRNA from 1 species
GAGCCUGGCUCAUGUACACUGAUAGCUCAUUAUAAAAUAAUUUCUUCAAACAUAUACAAUUUAGUUAAAACUAUAGACAAUGCAUUGCAUAUAUUCCCGCCCAAUUGUCCUGCAGAAAUUUCUCCACGUGACACCCACAAUAAAUUCCAACUUUGACAGAUCACUUCUUCUCCGAUCCACUUGGUUUCGUUGCCCCAAAAAAAUAAAAAAAUCCACUUGGUUUAAAUGUUGCUGUGUUUAGUACGUUCCUCUCAUAAGUAUAUCAAACUCCACUUCGUC